UACGGAGGGUGCGAGCGUUGUCCGGAAUCACUGGGCGUAAAGGGCGCGUAGGUGGCGCUCCAAGUCCAUGGUGAAAGCUCGAUGCUCAACAUCGAGUCGGCCACGGAUACUGGAGGGCUGGAGCACUGUAGGGGCAGAUGGAAUUCCGGGUGUAGCGGUGGAAUGCGUAGAGAUCCGGAAGAACACCGGUGGCGAAGGCGGUCUGCUGGGCAGUUGCUGACACUGAGGCGCGACAGCGUGGGGAGCAAACAGG
rnacentral:rRNA from 1 species